GGGCUGGUGGUCAAAUGGCUACAACUUCUGCUUCAUAGGCAGAAGAUCAUGGGUUCAAUUCCAGGCCCGUUCC
rnacentral:tRNA from 1 species